rnacentral:RNase_P_RNA from 2 species
UGAGAGCUCUCAGUGUCCCACCGCGAGCGACACGAAAAGGCAGAGGGGAGGGUCUGAGAUGCCGUUUUCUGACCUAGAGGUCACAUGCCACGAGGUGUGGGUCGCCAACCAGAAAAAGUCAGAUUCGACGGACCGAGUGCACCCUGUAGCGCUUGUUUACGGCCGAGUGCCUUGGUCCGGGUGUCUGCUUGAAAGAGGCAGACUGGCACGGGCGCCAGGAUUGGCUGGGUUUCGCUCCAGGAUCCUGUCGUUUAAAGCUUGAGUUCAAUUUCCGAGGCGUCUACUUGUCCAAUUCUGGUGCUCGUAGAUGAACUUGAUUCAGACUACUCCUGGCACUCA